GUCUACGGCCAUACCACCCUGAACGCGCCCGAUCUCGUCUGAUCUCGGAAGCUAAGCAGGGUCGGGCCUGGGUAGUACUUGGGAGAACCAAUAAGUAGGGGUUCAACUGAGGACUCUAGAUUCCUUUUGGCA
rnacentral:rRNA from 1 species